rfam:Myotis davidii contig208292, whole genome shotgun sequence.
AGAAAGGGCUUCUGUCAUGAGUGGCACACGUAGAGCAGCUUGAGUGCUCCACGUGCAGAAUCAACAUCAAGAGAUUUCAGAAGCAUAAUUAUUUGGUAUCUGGGUAGCUAGUGAUCAUUGGCCCUGGCACCCAC